rnacentral:rRNA from 1 species
AGAGUUUGAUCCUGGCUCAGAUUGAACGCUGGCGGCAGGCCUUAACACGUGCAAGUCGAACGGUAGCAGGAUGUGCUUGCACAUCGCUGACGAGUGGCGGACGGGUGAGUAAUGCUUGGGAACUUGCCUUUGCGAGGGGGAUAACAGUUGGAAACGACUGCUAAUACCGCAUAAUGUCUUCGGACCAAACGGGGCUUCGGCUCCGGCGCAAAGAGAGGCCCAAGUGAGAUUAGCUAGUUGGUGAGGUAAAGGCUCACCAAGGCGACGAUCUCUAGCUGUUCUGAGAGGAAGAUCAGCCACACUGGGACUGAGACACGGCCCAGACUCCUACGGGAGGCAGCAGUGGGGAAUAUUGCACAAUGGGGGAAACCCUGAUGCAGCCAUGCCGCGUGUGUGAAGAAGGCCUUCGGGUUGUAAAGCACUUUCAGUUGUGAGGAAAGGUUGGUAGUUAAUACCUGCCAGCUGUGACGUUAAUAACAGAAGAAGCACCGGCUAACUCCGUGCCAGCAGCCGCGGUAAUACGGAGGGUGCGAGCGUUAAUCGGAAUUACUGGGCGUAAAGCGCACGCAGGCGGUUUGUUAAGCUAGAUGUGAAAGCCCCGGGCUCAACCUGGGAUGGUCAUUUAGAACUGGCAGACUAGAGUCUUGGAGAGGGGAGUGGAAUUCCAGGUGUAGCGGUGAAAUGCGUAGAUAUCUGGAGGAACAUCAGUGGCGAAGGCGACUCCCUGGCCAAAGACUGACGCUCAUGUGCGAAAGUGUGGGUAGCGAACAGGAUUAGAUACCCUGGUAGUCCACACCGUAAACGCUGUCUACUAGCUGUGCGUGAAUUUAAUUCGUGCGUAGCGAAGCUAACGCGCUAAGUAGACCGCCUGGGGAGUACGGCCGCAAGGUUAAAACUCAAAUGAAUUGACGGGGGCCCGCACAAGCGGU